UUAAAGCUCUGUAUCACCUUUAAUGUAUCUGAUCCAGUCUGAUCUUGGAUGCUAAAUAGGGUCAAACUUGGUUAGUAACUUGGUUGGGAGAGCACCUGAGAAUAUUGGCUGAUUUAUAGA
rnacentral:rRNA from 1 species